rnacentral:lncRNA from 1 species
GAAGCAGCAGCAGCAGCAGCAGCAGCAGCAGCCAGGAGGACUCGCUGUGAUGUCAGGACUGACUGGAGGUCAGGGGACAGCCUGGAGUCGCCCAGUCCUUCAGCCACCGGCCCCCGCCCGGGCCAUAGAGCCCCUGGAAGGAGGCCCCACACGCCGCGUGUGCGUUAGGUGUGAAAUACUCGUGGAUCGGCAGCUCAGAGGAAAAAGCGUGGGAACG